rnacentral:lncRNA from 1 species
CAAUUUGUCAGCCGUCAUCGGGUAAAAACGACAAAUCAAAGAAUUCAACUCUAUAUAUAACUAAUAUAUGACAAUGGUGUAGAUUAAAAAUUACACCACUCCAGACACUUUUGUUUUCAGCAUAAUUAAUAUUGCCAAUAAUUAACAAGUUCCGGGUCUAAUCCGAUACCGAUACAAAUAGUAUAUUCAGCUAUUACCUUAUCUGUACGUUCCGCAUUUGACAGGCGCACCACCAAACGGUGUAUUUAGGAUUUUGCUAUAUACACGGGUCAUAAUCAAAGGACUGACACUACUAAAUUCAAUCAUUGUCAAAUUUUCCCUAUUGUAUUUUAUUCAGCAAUCAGCAAGACUUUCUAAGAUAACUAAUAUAGGACAAUGCUGUUGAUUAAAAAAUACUCCAUUCCUGGAUAGCCAGG